GGGUGGGUGGGGUGAUCAAAAAUGGGUUUGAGGAGUGAUUGGGGAAGUGGGUUUCAGUGGAAUUUGUAGAAGAAAACUGGAAUCUUGGGUAUUUCUUGAAAUGGUUUAAUGAUGAAAGUUAGGUUUUUCAGGGAAUUUUGGGGUGGCGUGGGGGGAUGGGGGGUGGGGUGAUCAAAAAGGGAUUUGAGGAGUGAUUGGAGGACUGGGUUUCAAUUGUGUUUGUGGAAUUGUGAAUUUCUUAAACUGGUUUUGUGAAAAAAAAGUGAGCUUCUCAAGGGAUUUUGGGGGUGGUUUUGAAGAGCGAAUAGAGUGUUGGAGAAGUGGUUUCAAUGAAAUUCGUAAAAGAAAACUGGGUAUAUGAGCUAGGAUUGAAUUGGUAAAAGAUCGUGGAAAAAUUGAAAUCAGUUUGUUUGCGAAAUAAAAAGCUUUGGUCGUGUGGUAGGGGGCGUUUUUGUUGAUGGUCUCUGAAAGCAGGGAAUGUGAAACGUGCUGGCAUGAGAGAGGUCAAUUAAGGUCUGCUGUUGUUUUGGUGUGGUUUCUUCCAUAAAUGCAGGAGAAUGCAAUGAAACAAUAAAGUUG
rnacentral:lncRNA from 1 species